UACGUAAUUGGGUGUGCUUUUGUGUAACUGGUUUGGUAACAGCAGAUCGACUGUACUACUAAAAGACAUCGUUCAAGCAGCAAGACAUUCAUCUAUCUAUCUGACGACAAAAACAUCAAUUUUCUGAGGAGAAAGAAGAACAGACUCUCGCGCCAUGGUUUGACUGCUGAUCAAAGCCAGCAUCUGGACGGUGAGGAAGAUUCGGGCCCACAUUGCUGAGGGAGAGCAAGAGGAGAAGCCCAUCUUCACACCAUGUGGUGUUAUUGGCUUUAAGAAGGAGCAGUUGACAUCAGGUUCUGAUCCACCGGCGGCCGUAAUGACCCCUGAACCUGAUGAUGGUAUCGCUAACGGCGGCCCGGCGGCGUCGUCAGAGACAGCCGUGCAGAAGUGCGGAUCCUGAGGUUAAAGGUCACACUGGAUAACUGGUUGGGACCAAUAAAUUAUUAUUAAGCAUGUCUUGAAAAGGAUGCAUUCACAGAACUGUAUGUCGGCAGACGCAGUCUCCUUGUUCCUCGCUCUCAGACGCAGUCCCCUUGUUCCUCGCUCCCAGACGCAGUCUCAUUGUUCGAAAAACUUUUGUACGUUAAAUUCUACUUCCUACUUCCCUGAUCUGGACUGUCUAUAAACAACAUUCACAUACAUUAUUCUGAUAAGUCUUCCUUUCUUCAAAAGUUUGGAUUAUGUUUGUAUUACUAGAUAUAACUGCAUUGUUAGAGCUAGAAACAUAAGAAUUUUGCUGCACCUGCAAAUCUGUACGCGACCAAUAAACUUAAACUUUUUUGUAUAGCCCAACAUGCUCUUAACUUUGCUAUCCUUAAUCAAAGGAUUCCCAUAGAAAAUGUCACUACAACCAUAAUGAUGACUAGUUUUGAGACCAAAUUAUGACAUAAGUCAUUCCAUUUAAUUUACGUUGUGUAGGUUUCUGAACCCAAGUAUGCUAAUACGAUAUCGCAAUAAAAAGUAGGUUAUUUACUGAUCUAUAGAAGAUAGUCUUUAACAGCCCUCCAACUGGAAAAAUGUUUGUUGUCAUGCCCUUGCUGUCCCAGCCUCUGUCCAGUGUGCCCAUACUCAGUGGACCAAAUACUAAGCUGAGAUACUUGCUGUAAUUCCAACGUUCAGUCAGUGUGAAGUUAUGACAUUUUCAUAUACACUAAUCUCAGGUUAAUAUUGUGUCCAGUGAGCUCUGUUUAACCUCUGACACCAGAUGACCCUUUAUGGCUGCAGCGUGUGACGACCUGCUCACCAACCCCUCCACCCAGGGACUGAGCUGUUCUGAUGCCUCUGCUGCAGCUUCCCUAAUAAAAACUUCAACUAUCUGGUCAA